rnacentral:rRNA from 1 species
UAUCUCUGUAGAGUCUGCAUAUCAAUAAGCGGAGGAAAAGAAACUAACUAAGGAUUCCCUCAGUAACGGCGAGUGAAGCGGGAAGAGCUCAAAUUUGAAAUCUUCAAGGUUUUACCUUGACGAAUUGUAGUUUAAAGAAGUGUUUUCUGUUGAAGUUUUGGUAAAAGUUCUUUGGAAUAGGACAUCAUAGAGGGUGAGAAUCCCGUAUUUGACCAGUUAUCUUCCAGCUGUGUGAUACACUUUCAAAGAGUCGGAUUGUUUGGGAAUGCAGUCCAAAAUGGGUGGUAAAUUUCAUCUAAAGCUAAAUACUUGGCGAGAGACCGAUAGCGAACAAGUACCGUGAGGGAAAGAUGAAAAGAACUUUGAAAAGAGAGUUAAACAGUACGUGAAAUUGUCAAAAGGGAAGCGUUUGACACCAGUGUUGUUUUCCUCGAAAAUCAAUUAAAAAUGGCGGGAUUUUGUGUUGUAUUGACUUUAUCCAGCUUUCUGCACUCUUUUUCCUAUCUUUUUUAAUGCACUUUUCGUUUAACAAGUCAACAUCAAUUUCUUUUGUUGUAAAAGGGUCAUUGGAAGGUGGCUUUCUUUUCGGAGAAAGUGUUUAUAGCCUUUGGCCUUCUGCAAUCGGAGAGAUUGAGGUCUGCAGCGUAGAUCCUUCGGGGUUAGAUACAUUUGUGCUAAGUUAUAGCCUUUCAUAGACAACUUGUUGACUAUGAUCAGUCAUGUAGCUUACUCGCUUAUGCUAUUUUACCUACGCUUAGGAUGUUGAGUCAUCACACAUCUCU